rnacentral:rRNA from 1 species
UGGGGAAUUUUGGACAAUGGGCGAAAGCCUGAUCCAGCAAUGCCGCGUGUGUGAAGAAGGCCUUCGGGUUGUAAAGCACUUUUGUCCGGAAAGAAAUCCUUGGCUCUAAUACAGUCGGGGGAUGACGGUACCGGAAGAAUAAGCACCGGCUAACUACGUGCCAGCAGCCGCGGUAAUACGUAGGGUGCAAGCGUUAAUCGGAAUUACUGGGCGUAAAGCGUGCGCAGGCGGUUCGCUAAGACCGAUGUGAAAUCCCCGGGCUCAACCUGGGAACUGCAUUGGUGACUGGCAGGCUAGAGUAUGGCAGAGGGGGGUAGAAUUCCACGUGUAGCAGUGAAAUGCGUAGAGAUGUGGAGGAAUACCGAUGGCGAAGGCAGCCCCCUGGGCCAAUACUGACGCUCAUGCACGAAAGCGUGGGGAGCAAAACAGGAUUAGAUACCCUGGUAGUCCACGCCCUAAACGAUGUCAACUAGUUGUUGGGGAUUCAUUUCCUUAGUAACGUAGCUAACGCGUGAAGUUGACCGCCUGGGGAGUACGGUCGCAAGAUUAAAACUCAAAGGAAUUGACGGGGUCAUAGCUGUUUCCU